AACAGGGAGGCGAAACCAUUUAGUUUCUUCACCGAGUUGCAGAGAAUUUCGUUAUGUCAAUUGAACGAUUCCCAAUCGAUUCAUCAUAUUUUCUUAUGGUUCUCAAACAAUCAACAGUUCAUACAAUGAAUCACUAGGAGUCCCCCCUCCCUCCCCCAACCCCAACCCCAACCCCCUCUAAUGUCUCUCUAUAACAUAAACAUCUUAUCAAAAUAGGGAUUAAACACAAUUGCAGUGGAAUACAAAAAGUUUCUGAUUUUAGGCGAUGUUAUUUCACCGAAGAGAACUAAACAUCAAUCUAGGGAUGAGAGUUUAGGAUAACUUUGCCUACAUAAGCCAUCUAUAGAUAAGUGUUCUUCAACCUUAUUGAACAUCGUCAACUCGAUAUAUCCAUGGACCAAGAGUCUUCACCGACGGGAGCUUGCGCCGUUCUUUUUCUUCUUCCAUAUUCUCAUCAAUUAUGUUGGGUGUUACGUAUAAUUGAUUCAUUGGUUUGUCUCUCUUAUUGUUUUCUUAAUUUUGUGCAGCAAGAAUUAAUGAGUUUACUGUUUAAUGGAAAAAUGGAAAGCGUUCUGAACAAUCCGUCAUGAAGUAAAGUUGACACCUAGCAAGGCAAUGUGUAAUGUUAAGGUACCUUCUACUUCUCGGGUUUGUUUCUUCCGAGAUAUUUUCCGCCUGAGUUUUUAUCCAGCCAACCACUCAAUUUACACAAUGGAGUUUUUCAAAUUGAUGCAAGAGAUGAUUGGGUACUUCUAAAAUGUGACUAUUUUAAUCGGGUGUUAGUUUAGUUUUGAUACGCCGGUUUUGGUUGACGCGCAAAUCAAAAGAUAUAUACAUUCUGGAAUUAUGAUUAAGGGGAAAAGAUUUUGGUAUCAUCAUGUGAAAAUUAGUGUUGAAGUUUGUUAUCAGGGCAACAGUUACCAAUGUCAUAAGAUCGCCACAGACAUGAAGUGUAGGUCGGAAUGCAGAAAAUGGGAAACCAACAACUGCGAAAACAGGAGCAGUAAUUUCUGAACGAGCAAGGCAGAACAAUAACACAAAGGAUGAUGCGUUUCCGCUAAUGUAAGGUUUGGCUAAUAACAUGGGCUUGGACGAAGACACUUAGGACCUGGAUGCUGCAAUUGAAGCUUCAAUUCAAGUAAUUUUUGUUGGAACCGAAGACUACCACCAGGUCAAGAAGCUUCCCAUAACCACAGUAGCAGCAGAGGAAAUAUUGAUGAGGUUGCAUAAUAACACGAAGUGCUCUGUCUUUCAACAGGAAUUGGUCAUUGAUGACAAGUUGCUAGAGUUACUAUGCUUAUAUUUAUACUUAAUAUGUAAAUCUUACUUUCUUUCUCAUUAUGUAUAGUAAGGUUACCAUUCUCUUUAUCAAACAUGUUGAUUAUGCUAAGUCAAUGUUGUUUGCACUGGAUCUAGAAUCACAUGGUCACUGGUCAGACACAAUGGUUUCAUCUAAUGGUUCGGAUUUCUGGGUAGAAGUUUAAAUUUUAAUCA